GUAAGUAGUGGGUAGGCAGGUAAGGUAGGAUAGGGGGCUUUGAUAUAGAUAUAUACUUUUGGUUCCGUCCAGCCCCUUUCCCCCAAAUUACCAAGGUAAUGGAAUAAGUUCCUUGUAAAUGGUAAUUCUCUGCCUUUUGUCAUCCUUACUCACACCUAGAGUCCAUACCUUUCACCCCACGGAGAGUUGCGAUGUAGCAGGGUGUUGCGUUCCCUCUUCCUAGAGGCAUGCGUAACAUAGCGGGCGGGCUUUACUUGUCUCAGUGCCCUCUUGUGGCGCCUGCAGGUUUCCUCUGACAUGUUGGUGUGGCUGGCUGGCGGGUGUUAAGAAGCAUGGUUUGGGGGGGUCAUGUUUCGGAGUACGCAUGACUCAACCUUCGCCUCCUUAGCCUGUUUGGAAGUCACAGCGAAGAGACAAGAUCGAAAUUGGACCUGAGCCCUAGGACCAUGCCUCAGGACUACCUGGCUUGAUGACUCCUUGCUGUCCCCAGUUCACCUGGCUGUGCUGCGGCUCCAGUUCCAACUGUUCUGCCUGCAGCUAUGGAACCCUGACCUGUUCACCGGACGUGCUACCUGUCCCAGACCUGUUGUCCCAGACCUGCUGGAACCCUGACCUAUUCACCGGACGUGCUACCUGUCCCAGACCUGCUGUUUUCAACUCUCUAGAGACAGCAGGAGCGGUAGAGAUACUCUCAAAGAUCGGCUAUGAAAAAGCCAACUGACACUUACCCUUGUGUUACUGACUUGUUGCACCCUCGACAACUACUAUGAUUAUUAUUUGACAAUGCUGGUCAUUUAUGAACAUUUGAAAAUCUAGGCCAUGUGCUGUUAUAAUAUCCACCUGGCACAGCCAGAAGAGGACUGGCCACCCCUCAUAGCCUGGUUCCUCUCUAGGUUUCUUCCUAGGUUUUGGCCUUUUUAGGGAGUUUUUCCUAGCCACCGUGCUUCUACACCUGCAUUGCUUGCUGUUUGGGGUUUUAGGCUGGGUUUCUGUACAGCACUUUGUGAU
rnacentral:lncRNA from 1 species